AGAGUUUGAUCAUGGCUCAGGAUGAACGCUGGCGGCGUGCCUAACACAUGCAAGUCGAACGUGAUGACUGGUUUCGACUGGUCUGAAAGUGGCGAACGGGUGAGUAACACGUGGGCAACCUGCCUCGAAGUGGGGGAUAACCAUUGGAAACGAUGGCUAAUACCGCAUGGUCCUGCGGAUACGGGAGUAUCUGUGGGUAAAGGGUUUACCGCUUCGAGAGGGGUCUGCGUCCGAUUAGCUUGUUGGUGGGGUAAAGGCCUACCAAGGCGAAGAUCGGUAGCUGGUCUGAGAGGACGAUCAGCCACACGGGAACUGAGACACGGUCCCGACUCCUACGGGGGGCAGCAGUGAGGAAUAUUGCGCAAUGGGGGCAACCCUGACGCAGCAACGCCGCGUGGAGGAAGAAGGUCUUCGGAUUGUAAACUCCUUUUCUUGGGGAAGAGUGAGGACGGUACCUGAGGAAUAAGUCACGGCUAACUACGUGCCAGCAGCCGCGGUAAUACGUAGGUGGCAAGCGUUAUCCGGAAUUACUGGGCGUAAAGCGCACGCAGGCGGCCGAUUAAGUCUGACGUGAAAGCUCCCGGCUAAACUGGGAGAGGUCGUUGGAAACUGAUUGGCUUGAGGCGAUGAGAGGGGUGCGGAAUUCCCGGUGUAGUGGUGGAAUGCGUAGAUAUCGGGAGGAACACCAGUGGCGAAAGCGGCACCCUGGCAUCGGCCUGACGCUCAUGUGCGAAGGCGUGGGGAGCGAACGGGAUUAGAUACCCCGGUAGUCCACGCGGUAAACGAUGAGCACUGGGUGUGGGUAGCGUAAAGCUAUCUGUGCCGAAGCAAACGCGUUAAGUGCUCCGCCUGGGGAGUACGGCCGCAAGGCUAAAACUCAAAGGAAUUGACGG
rnacentral:rRNA from 1 species